rnacentral:rRNA from 1 species
AACGAACGCUGGCGGCAUGCCUAACGCAUGCAAGUCGAGCGAGCACUUCCGGGCUUCAGCCGCAGACGGGCGUGAAACACGUGGACAUGCCCCUUUGGGCGCAGUAUAUCCCCGGGAGACGUGCGCAAAUACGGUAUACUCUUCUGUCCAAAGAUUUAUAGCCGCUGGAUGGGCCCGCGUUGGAUUAGCUAGUUGGUAGGGUAAAAGCCUACCAAGGCGACGAUCUCUAGCUGGUCUGAGAGGAUGAUCAGCCACACUGGGACUGAGACACGGCCCAGACUCCUACGGGAGGCAGCAGUGGGGAAUAUUGGACAAUGGGCGAAAGCCUGAUCCAGCAAUGCCGCGUGAGUGAUGAAGGCCUUAGGGUUGUAAAGCUCUUUUGUCCGGGACGAUAAUGACAGUACCGGGAGAAUAAGCCCCGGCUAACUCCGUG